ensembl:lncRNA
ACACACACACACACACACGUACGUUUGGUUGGAGCUUCCAGCGGGCCCCUGCUUGGUUCAGAAAGCCCCAUUCCUGUCUUCGUCUCUCUCCAAACCUCAGCUUCUCAGAGAUUCUCUGAACAAAGGAAAGGCACCAGAAAGCCCAGUUCCACAUUCUUAGCGACUAUUGCAGCUUUCCUCCCCGGAUACCACCAGCCACCUAAGUCCCCACCUAAAGUGCUCAGCUUUUGGCCAUACUUGGACACAAACUCACAUCACCCCUUGCCUACAAUCUAUAAAGUCUUUCCGCCUUAGUUCGGGAGUGCCACUUCUGUGGCCUCAAUCUCUGGGACCAGUGAACUCACCCAAGAGUUGUUUUGCUCAAUAAACCUGGUGUUACACUUUUUCAAUUUGGCUCAAUCUGGCUUACUGUGUAGGCAGAGAAACUUAUUGUGGGGAGGGCAGGGUGGCAGAAGACCUAUUAAUAUAAUACAUACAUACAUACAUACAUACAUACAUACAUACACACACACACACACACACACACACACACACACACACACACACAGUAUAACUAAAAUUUAAGUAGCAAAUUUGAAUUUGCCAGGUUUCAAAAACAAAGAUUUCAUACUUUAAAUGAAAGAGUUCAAAGCCAACUUCAGAUUUAAAGACGUUGAGAUGAGUGGGUAUAGAGCUCAGUGGACACAUAGAUUUUUAUUGAUAGCACACAUCGUUUUUGACAACAGCAUGGCAAAGAGAUGAAAAUAUUUCCAAACGUAUGUUGCCAAAAAGCUUCAGAGAGCCGUUCUGACAGAGAGGUACAGGUUCCACACCAGAUACCCUUCCCCUCAAAGUGACAGAUGAAGUGUGAGGUUUGGGUGCGUGUUGUAUGUGCUCACAGGUAACUUCUGCCAAGUGCUCCAUUGGUCCAAGUGCAUUGGGUCCUAGUGGCAGGCCUAUAAUUCUUCACUGUUGAGUAUGUGCCUACAUACUUUAGUUAACACGUUUAAAAGAGAAUCCUUUCAUCAUGGCACAUGCGUUUCUGCCUGUAGGAUAAUAACUUGUUCAAACAGAAUCAUAACACUAAUUUUCAGUGGACUCCAGGAAAAUCAUCUGAUGGGGAUGUCUUCUGUAUAUGUUUGUCUUACCAGUUGAUGAAUAAAACUCUGUGGCCAACAAGGCAGCACGAUAGGCAGGUCUAGGAGAUGAGGAGGAUUCUGGGAAAGGUAGGCAGAGAGGAGUAACAUGUCUCCAGACAUUUCUCCGGUAAGAGAAGAACACGUGGAAAUACUUAGAUUGAUAGAAAUGGGUUAGAAAUUAAGUCAGAGCUAGCCAGUAAGAAGCCCUAGACAUUGGCCAACAGUUUCAUAAUUAAUACGGUGUCCGUGUGUUAUUUGGGGCUGAAGCGGCGACGGGACCCAGGGAGCUGGUGGAACAGUCAUCUUUCUGAUACUGCUACCAACCACCAGGCUCUCUCAGCAUCAGGAAACAUCACUCCAGUCAGGGCCUGUGUAGGGCCCAAACUCAAGGUCAAACUGCCCUCUUGUGGUUUUCUAAGAUAUUGCCCUUGACAUGGACAUUUUAGAUGCAUUUGGCAUAGAUAUUAUUUAUGAAUGACAGAUGGAUAAAUAGUUAAGUAGAUUCGAUAUGUCGAUAGGUAGAUGAUAGACAGACACACACAUACACACACACACACAUACACACACACACAGAGAGACAGACAGACAGACAGGUUUCCAAUACUGUAGCCCAAGCCCAGGCUCUGUACAUCCUAAGCAACUACGAAGUGGUUGCUGAAUUUUAAAUGUUCUUACAUUUAUUUCACAGUGUAAAAUUCACACUUUAAAAUGAUACAGUGUUUUUCUUAGUAUAGUCAUAGAUUUUUGUAGCUAUUAUCACUGUUUAACUCCUGAACAUUUUAACUUCCCUGAUCCCCAUAAUCAUUGACUUUAAUGUAUGGUGUGUGUGUGUGUGUGUGUGUGUGUGUGUGUGUGUAGUAGUAGUAGUAGUAGUAGUAGUAGUAUAUGCACAAAUAUACAUUCUAUACACAAUAGCUAUAUGUAUGCAUAUUAUUUUUGCAUACAUGCAUUGUGUAUUACGUAAACAGGUGUUUCAGUAUGCAGUGUUUUUACUCUUUCCUCAGUGACUUGCAACAUCUCAUGUGACAUGCCGAUUUCAAACACCUGUGUAGACUGCUUUAUCUCUGUGCUGUCUUGCAUUGAUGAUUUGAUCUAACCCUGUAUAACUAGAAGGCAGGUGCUGGGGGUUGAAUACAGGGCCUUGAAUGUGGUCAGCAACCUCUACCCAUGAGCUACACACUAAUGAUUAAAUCAAGCUCCAUCACUCUGUUGUCUGUCCUCACGAGGUUAUCUCGAGUAUCACUGGCCCUUCAGAUUUCCAUGUACAUUUUUGGAAAUAGCGUUUUAAGUUACACAGAAAUCUGUUGAAAAUUUAAAAUUGUGUUAAAUUUGGACUUGUUGAAGAAAACUAUAUUACAACACUGACUCGUUUAGGUUUAAAAUCUUUUAGUGAUUUGUAACUUUUUUCAUUUUGUCAUAUUUACCCGGCUCUUACAUUUCCACUGUACUUAUUCUUUGAUUUUUUUCUUUUGUUGUUGUUUUGGUACAGGGUUUCUCUGUGCAGCUUUGGUAUUCCUUGAAUUUUUGUUGUUAAUGCUACUGAAGAUUUUUUUUCUACCAGUCUGUUAUAUUUAUGUGUGUCAAAUGUCUCCUAACUUACCCAUAGACUGUUAUUUAUUUUCUCUGUGUAAAUGUUUUAUAUUUAUUUAACAUUUUGUAUGUUUCCUGAGGCUAAAGUCUUGCUAUAUAGCUCUGAUUGCUCAGAAUUCUCUGUGUAGCUCAAGUUGGCGUCACACUGGAAAUCCUCCUGCCUUGGCCUCCCAAGUGUACUUCACCCCAGGCUCCCUCUGUCACGAGUUUUGCUUCACUUUCAAAAACAUUACCAUUUUAACUUGUUUUGUGCUUUCAAAGUCUUGGUGACAGCCACAAGCACAAAGAGAAAUGGACCUGGUUGCUAACUUACUUGGAUCCUACGUUGCCAGGGAAAGCAUCUGACCUUGCUGUGUGAUGUGUGUUAUAGGUUUACAUGUAUACUUUAUGGUUUUUAAUAUUUACUUAUUUAUAUAAUUUAUGCAUAUGGAUACUUUUUCUGCAUGCAUAUAUACAUACAAGAAGAAGGCAUGAAUCUCAGGAGGCUACAGUUACAGAUGGUUGUGAGCUACCAUGUGGGUGCUGGGAAUUGAACUCAAGUCCUCUGGAAGAGCAGCAAGGGAUCUUAACCACUGAGCCAUCUCUCCAGCCCUAUCCUUUACAAUUUAAAAUACUUUGUGUUUCUCCCUUGUUUUUUUUCCAUACAUAGAUUUUUAAAAAUGCUUGUCCUGACUAAGAUGGAUUUGUAUGAUUUUCAUUUUAAUCUAUUAUCAUACUUAAUGGAUCGAAGAUUCCAUUAGCUGCAAAACAUUUCAAAAUGAUCACUGAAUUUUAGUUUUAAAAAGUGAACAUCUAAAUUGGCAAACAUAUGAAGUUAUCUUUUAAAGGUAAAACUGCCAUGCAUUCAUUCCUGAGAUCAAACAUAUAUUCAAUUCUCUAAUUGGAUUAUCAAAUCUAUAGUUUUUCCCACAUUUUGUGCAAAACUGAAAUUCAAAGACUAAUUUUUUAAAAUGCCAUUUAAUUAUCUGAGACAGAGUUGCAGUAUGUAGCCCUGGCUGGCCUGGAACUUACUAUAUAGAGCCAGAUGGUCUGGUCACAGAGAUCUGCCUGCCUCUGCCUCCCAGGUAAUGAGAUUAAAAGUGUGUGCACCAUGUGCAGCUAGAUUUAUUUUAUAUGUAAUUAUGUAUGCAUGUGUGUAUGUGUGUGCACCCAUGAGCAUGUGUGAUGCAGGUCCUCAGAGUCCAGAGAAGGGUGCUGAUCUCCUGGUGGCUUUGAGCUGUCAGAUAUGGAUGCUAGAAACCGAACUCUUAAUUACUGAGCCGUUUCUCUAGCCCCAAAAACCAGUUUUUAAUGAAUAGUAAAACCUAUCAAAACCCUAGCUUAGUGCUUUAUUUUCAGGGAAGUUUUAAUUGUUAUCUAAAUUUCUUUAAAGCCUAAAACGGUAUUAUGCCCAUAUCUUCUUGUGUCUACUUGCUAUGUUAUUUUUCUAUUCCUUUAACUUCAAAUAUCCUCAGUGUUUUUAAGGUCAAUACUAGGCUUUGGCUUUUUAUUUAAUGUUAUUUAUGUAAGGCUCCUCUUUUCCCUUGAUCCAACCUGCUUGCUGACUCUAUGCCUCUACAUUCUAAGGUGCUUGUUUCCUCCACCAUGUGGUUGUUUUCAGUCUCUGCUGUUACCUUUACUUCCUUCUUUCUCUAACUCAGUGGGAAGCUCAGCUCAGAAUUAAGCUUCUUUCCUAAUGAGAACAGUGCAGUGAAUUACCGAAAACUUUCAAGGUUCUUUGCCUCAAAAGUACUCAGGGUUCAAAAGGAGGCACUACAAUGAACAUGGGAUCUAAGUCUGAGGACUACAGAAAGGACUAUCCUCAACCCGAGUUCUUUCUCUCU